rnacentral:rRNA from 1 species
AUGCUAAACGCACCGCCGGAACGGGGGCUAGGCGGGGAGACCUUUAUUCCAUCUUCAGGGUGCCGCCGCCGUCUCGCCUUAACACAUGGCAUCCUUCUUCGCUUCUCUUGUCCCUACACUUCUCCUCAAAACGGUAAAGCCAAGCGUUCUCUUCGCAUCAUCAAUGACAUUGUCUGUACACUUCUGGUUCAGUCCUCCAUGCCAUCAAAUUCUGGGCAGAAGCACUCUACACAGCAACCUCUCUUCUCAAUAUUCGCCCCUAUUACUCUCUUUUCCUUUGCCAUCCCAAUUACUCCGAGGUUCGUGUUUUUGCUGUCUUUGCUUUCCAAAUGCCUAUGCCACCUCUGA